rnacentral:rRNA from 1 species
GACGUAGGGCGCGAGCGUUGUCCGGAUUUAUUGGGCGUAAAGAGCUCGUAGGCGGUUUGUCGCGUCGGAUGUGAAAACUUUGGGCUCAACCCAAAGCGUGCAUUCGAUACUGCCGUGACUAGAGUUCGGUAGGGGAGUGGGGAAUUCCUAGUGUAGCGGUGAAAUGCGCAGAUAUUAGGAGGAACACCGGUGGCGAAGGCGCCACUCUGGGCCGAAACUGACGCUGAGGAGCGAAAGCGUGGGUAGCAAACAGG